GUUGUCAAUGCGAGCUUUGAAGAGAAGUACCUUGGUUUUCCUACUCCAAAUGGCCGGUUAUCUAAAGGGAAAUUGAAGAGCGUUCAACAGCAACUUACCAAGAGAAUAAUCCAAUGGGGGGAGCUCAUGUCUCAGGCGGGAAGAGAGGUCCUUAUAAAGGCCGUAGCACAAGCCCUUCCGACGUUCCUUAUGAGCAUUUUCAAGUUCCCAAGAAGCACAUGCGAUGACCUUGCACGCAUGAUCCGUAGCUACUGGUGGGGCGCAUACAGAGGGAAGAGGAAGACGCACUGGAAGGCUUGGGAUCACUUGCUGCGGCCAAAAGCUGCUGGUGGGAUGGGUUUCAAGGAUUUUAGGAUGUUCAAUCAAGCCUUGUUGGCAAGGCAAGCUUGGAGAUUGCUG
rnacentral:rRNA from 1 species